GCAACUGAUUUUUGGGAACCGUGUCCUACAACUGUAAUAAACAGUAGUUAAUUAAAAACUAGAUUAGGAUUACAUCAGUCAAAAACCAAAGGAUUUCUUUCUUGUCACUCAUUUUUUACAAUGAUCUUUGAUUCAUAAAACGGCCGAUUUAAAAAUGGGAAAAAUUACAAUAUAAAGAGCUAGCUAGCCUGAAGAGAUCUAUAGUAAAUACCGUAGGGGAAGAAGAAUCUGAAAAAGCAAUAGAUGGAUGAAGAAAAUGAAUUAACCUCGAGAAAACGCGGCCGCAAUCG
rnacentral:misc_RNA from 1 species